ensembl:lncRNA
AGAGAGACUGGUAGAGUGAGACAGACAGAGACAGAGAGACUUACGUGUCUAGCACCCAGAGAGAGAGACUGGGACAGAGACAGAGACAGAGAGACUGGGACAGAGACAGAGACAGAGAGACUGGGACAGAGACAGAGACAGAGAGACUGGGACAGAGACAGAGAGACUGGGACAGAGACAGAGAGACUGGGACAGAGACAGAGAGACUGGGACAGAGGCAGAGAGACUGGGACAGAGGCAGAGAGACUGGGACAGAGAGACUUAAGUGUCUAGCACCCAGAGAGAGAGAGAGAGAGAGAGAGACUGGGAGAGGGAGAGAGAGACUGGGACAGAGACAGAGAGAGGGAGAGAGAGAGACUGGGACAGAGAGAGAGACAGAGAGAGGGAGAGAGAGAGACUGGGACAGAGAGAGAGACAGAGAGAGGGAGAGAGAGAGACUGGGACAGAGACAGAGAGACUUAAAGACUGGAACAGAGACAGAGAGACUUAAGUGUCUAGCACCCAGAG